rnacentral:rRNA from 1 species
AACUUUCAACAACGGAUCUCUUGGUUCUGGCAUCGAUGAAGAACGCAGCGAAAUGCGAUAAGUAGUGUGAAUUGCAGAAUUCAGUGAAUCAUCGUAUCUUUGAACGCACAUUGCGCCCUUUGGUAUUCCAAAGGGCAUGCCUGUUCGAGCGUCAUUU